rnacentral:rRNA from 1 species
UACAGAGGCCACGAGCGUUAGGCGGAAUCACUGGGCUUAAAGCGUGUGUAGGUGGAUGAUUAAGUACCUUGUGAAAUCCCACGGCUCAACCGUGGAACUGCUUGGUAUACUGGUUGUCUUGAGGCACUCAGGGGCGAGCGGAACAGAUGGUGGAGCGGUGAAAUGCGUAGAUAUCAUCUGGAACGCCAAUGGUGAAGACAGCUCGCUGGGGGUGUACUGACACUGAGACACGAAAGCCAGGGGAGCAAACGGG